rnacentral:misc_RNA from 1 species
CUCCUAUAAAGCUCACACACUCACUCGCUCACUCGCAUCGCAUCAUAAGGCGGCGCCAGGCGCCAGCCAAGGAAGGGAUGCCACCGGCGGGCCGCAUUCCGGGGGUCAUCGUCCUGGCCCUCGGCGUCGGGGCGCUGGGAUUCCCCGACGCGAUGCGCCUCGUGGCGGGGCGGCCGCGGAACCCGCUCCUCGACAUCGCCGCCUGCGCGGUCGCCAUGGUCGUGGCCACGGCCUACGCUCUCGGCACCAUGCUGCUGGCGCGUUUCGUCCGCAGCGGUGGCGGUGACGCGCCGCCCGCGGACGCCUUCGCCCGCCUGACCUUCGUCGUCUCCCUCGCCGCUGCGCUGCUCGUCUCCGCGUGCCUCCUCUUCCUGCCCGCGCCCGCGCCCGGCGCCGGCGGCCUGCCCUGCCAUACUGUCGACGCCAUCGCCGGAGAAAGCGAUGUGGUCGUCUCGGCCCUCGUCGCCGUCGGCGCCGUCGCCGCGGUCGUCCCCUUCGCCAGGCGUAUGCUCCGCCUCCGCACCGCCCCUGCUUCGACUUCGAGCCCCACGUCCUCGUCCUGAGCUUCGCGGUCCUCCUCCGCCUCUCCUCCAAGAACACAUAGGGACUAUUUUGAAGGUAUUGAUUUGGGAUUUCUGGAGCUUAUUAUCAGCUUGUCGUAGGUACUCGCAUGUCACAGAUGGGGAUGGAGUAGCAGAAUAAAUGAAUGAAAUGAUCAUUCAAGUGCUCAGUUCAGCCACUGUCUAUUUUUAGUCUUUGCUAAAAUCGGGAGCAAAGCAUGACAUGCGAUACUGGUGGAGCCGUUCAAUAAGAAUGUGUGCGCAGCGCAAGAAUGAGCUGAUCAAGGCAUUCGCUUUGGGAGUUGAAGCCAAUAGCGGGAUCAAAACUGAUCGAGUCCUCUGCUCAGCGCCAUUCGCUUCAACUCGUGUGUGCAAGAUUUUGUCGGCCAUGGAUCUCUUUUCCUUGCCUCCUUAACUGAUCAAGCGUCACGAGACGGCGGCUGUGAGCUGUCUGCCUGUCUCGCAUGCAAACGUGCAGGGGGCGGCCGGGCCAGGAUGUCGGAAGCGAGCCUUUCGCCACGGGAUCAACCAAUAGUUCACGUGUUUCUUCUUCUUUUUUAAUAAGACUUGUCGCCCCUGCACCUAACUGUAUAUUUAAAUUAAAAAAAAGCUCAUACGGUCCGCCGUUGAUAGUAAAAUUAAGAGGUUAAAAAAGUGAGAGGGCGCUGCAUACAGCCGCCGAGAGCGACGAGGAUCUGUCACGGAUACGCAGGAAGUGAGGGGGCCAUCUGCUGUGG